AUGGCAGCUGCCAAUAUUGACGAUCCACUCUAUCCCAUUGUGGUGUUCAUAGAUGAACUCCGAAAUGACGACGCUCAGCUUUGUCUCAAUCGUAUCAAGAAGCUCUGCACCUUUGCCUUGGCCCUUGUCGUUGAAUGCAUCAGAAGUAAGCUCCUGCCUUUCCUUACAGAUAUCAUCUAUGAUGAAGACACAGUCCUCUUGGCCUUGGCUGAGUAGCUGGGAGCCUUCACCACUUUGGGGUGCCACCCCUUGAGUCACUGGCCACAGUGGAAUAGGCAGUAGUGAAAGACAAGGUGGUAGACUCCUUGUGGGCCAUCUCACAUGAGCACUCACCUUCAGAUCUAGAGGCAACACACACACUUUGUGCCUCUGGUGAAGCAGAUGGCUGGUGAGUGGAGACUGGUUCACCUCCUGCACCUCAGCCCAUGGUGUCUUCUUGGUUUGCUACCCCUGUGUAUCCAGUGCCAUGAAGGUCUUCCACAGUCCUUCCGGAACCUGUGCUCAGAUGGCACCCCAUGGUGUGGCUGGCUGCUUCCUCCAAGCUGAGGGAGUCUGCUAAGGUGCUGGAGCUGGACAGGGUCAAGAGUGAGAGCAUCCCGUGUUCUCUAACCUCCCUCUGAUGAGCAGGAUUUGGUGAGGCUGCUGGCAGUGGAGGCAUGUGUGAACAUCGCUCAGCUUGUGCCCAGGAGGACCUGAAGGCCUUAGUGAUGCCCACCUUGAGACAGGUGCCAAGGAACAAGUGUCUGAUAUAUGGUAGCUGACAAGUUCACAGAGCUCCAGAAAGCAGUGGUGCCUGAGAUCACCGUGACAGAUCUGGUGCCUGCCUUUCAGAACCUGAUGAAGAACUAUGAGGCCAAGGUGAGGGCUACAGCCUACUGUAAGGUCAAAGAGUUCUGUGAAAAUAUUCUAGCCAACUGCUAGGAUGAUGUAAUCAUGACCCAGAUCUUGCCCUGCAUCAAGGAGCUUGUGUCAGAUGCCACCCAACAUGUCAAGUCAGCACUGGCUUUUGUCAUCAUGUUCCUCUUCCAUUCUGGGUAAAGACACCACCGAACACCUCUUGCCCCUUUUCUUGGCUCAGCUGAAGGACGAGUGUCCUGAGGUGUGCAUUAACAUCAUCUCCAACCUGAAUUGCGUGAAUGAGAUGAUUGGCAUCCCACAGCUCUCUCAGUCCCUGCUUCCUGCCAUUGUGGAACUAGCUGAGGAUGCCAAGUGGCGAGUAUGGCUAGUCUUCAUUGAGUUCGUGCCUCUGGCUGGACAGCUCGGGGUGGGAUUUAUUGACGAGAAACUCAGCUCUUUGUGUAUGGCCUGGCUAGUGGAUGAUGUCUAUGCUAUCUGUGAGGCUGCCACCAGCAACCUCAAGAAGCUAGUGGAGAUGUUUGGGAGGGGGUGGGCCCAUGCCACUAUUGACCCCAAGGUCUUAGCCAUGUUUUGAGACCCUAGCUAUCUGCAUCACACAACUAUACUCUUCUGCAUCAAUGUGCUCUCUGAGGUCCGUGGGCAGGGUAUCACCACCAAACACAUGUUGCCUACAGUUCUUUGUAUGGCUGGGGACCCAGUCGCCAAUGUCUGCUUUGUUGCUUCAGAAGAUAGGACCCACUCUUGACAACAGCACCCUGCAGAGUGAAGUCAAGCCCAUCCUGGAGAAGCUGACCCAGGACCAGGAUGUGGCUGUCACGUACUUCUCCCACGAGGCUCUGACUCUUCUCUCUCUUGCCUGA